GUAUUCUUCUGUCCCUUUCGACAGAACAAAAUAACGUUCGGAGAAGCUAAUGGCUCGUAUUGCAGGAGUGAACAUACCUGAU
rfam:Legionella worsleiensis strain ATCC 49508 Lwor_ctg012, whole genome shotgun sequence.